AGCAGUUCAACCAGAGAGGAAGAGGCGAAGCGAAGCAUAACUGGGCCCAAAUUCUGUCUUCUCUAGCAGAGAGAGAAUUCUGAUUCAUUGAAACAACCUGAUCUCCAAAGUCCACGUCUAUAGUCUCAAUCAAUCACACACAACGUAGAGCUACAGCUGUGCAGUUACACUGGUGCCGUGACCUGGAUUCAUCGUUGAUCGACGUUAGCUCAAUCACCGCGGCGCUGCUGCUCUAGAGACUCUUUACAUCAUUGAGUACUCACCACCAACGGACCAAGCAGCGUGGUAAGAGGGAGUCAUGGACCUGGGAGGAGAUCCUGGAUGAGGCAGGACCGUGGACAAGGCCUGGAGAGUACCGCCGCC
rnacentral:lncRNA from 1 species